rnacentral:rRNA from 1 species
UGUCUGGGAAGCUGCCUGCUUGAGGGGGAUAGCGGAGCGAAAGUUCCGAUAAUACCGCGUAAGCCCGAGAGGGGAAAGUGCGGGACCGCAAGGCCGCACGCGAGCAGAUGCGCCCAGAUGGGAUUAGGCAGUUGGGGAGGUAAUGGCUCACCAAACCGAUGAUCUCUAGCUGGUUUGAGAGGACAAUCAGCCACAUUGGAAUUGAGAAACGGACCAAACUCCUACGGGAGGCAGCAGUGGGGAAUAUUGCACAAUGGGGGAAACCCUGAUGCAGCCAUGCCGCGUGUGUGAAGAAGGCCUUCGGGUUGUAAAGCACUUUUGCAUUCGAGGAAGACAGCGUAUAAAUAAAUGCGCUAUUUGACGUUAGAGUGUGAAUAAGCACCGGCAAACUCCGUGCCAGCAGCCGCGGUAAUACGGAGGGUGCGAGCGUUAAUCGGAAUGACUGGGCGUAAAGGGCACGCAGGUGGCGAGAUAAGUUGGAUGUGAAAUUCCCGUGCUUAACAUGGGGACUGCAUCCAAAACUGUUGAACUGGAGUACUGUAGAGGGAGGUAGAAUUCCACGUGUAGCGGUGAAAUGCGUAGAGAUGUGGAAGAAUACCAGAGGCGAA